rnacentral:rRNA from 1 species
AUUACCGAGUGAGGGCCCUCUGGGUCCAACCUCCCACCCGUGUUUAUUUUACCUUGUUGCUUCGGCGGGCCCGCCUUAACUGGCCGCCGGGGGGCUCACGCCCCCGGGCCCGCGCCCGCCGAAGACACCCUCGAACUCUGUCUGAAGAUUGAAGUCUGAGUGAAAAUAUAAAUUAUUUAAAACUUUCAACAACGGAUCUCUUGGUUCCGGCAUCGAUGAAGAACGCAGCGAAAUGCGAUACGUAAUGUGAAUUGCAAAUUCAGUGAAUCAUCGAGUCUUUGAACGCACAUUGCGCCCCCUGGUAUUCCGGGGGGCAUGCCUGUCCGAGCGUCAUUGCUGCCCUCAAGCCCGGCUUGUGUGUUGGGCCCCGUCCUCCGAUCUCCGGGGGACGGGCCCGAAAGGCAGCGGCGGCACCGCGUCCGGUCCUCGAGCGUAUGGGGCUUUGUCACCCGCUCUGUAGGCCCGGCCGGCGCUUGCAGAUCGACCCAAAUUUUUAUCCAGGUUGACCUCAGAUCAGGUAGGGAUACCCGCUGAACUUAAUGAUAUCAAUU